ACGACUUGACACCGCACGUGUGAAAGCACCCUGAAUCAUAAAGUCCUGCACCGAAAUCUCAGGAUAUUCUUUUGAGGCCAAGAUGGAGAGGUUUGAACGGUGUGGUACAAAGAAACUGUCGCUCAGCGUGAGUCAGCCAGGAGUAGAUAAGAGAGGGAAAAACCUAGUGUUAGGUAAAGAGCCACAAGAGGGCGCUAGAGGUAAGGAAAACAUUUAAAGAAAAGCUGCAGAGGAAAACCAAACGUGGACAAGCGGAAAGAAGAAGAAACAGCAAGACCCCAAGAAGCAUUUACCCAGAUCAGGAAAGUCUGGUGCACCAAGCUGCAUUUGUUCAACCCAAACGUCGGUCUGUAUACAAAAGUUUCCCUGGGUAAAGUCCAGACUUUCAUAUAACAGUUUCAGCUCUGACUCUUCUCAGAUAACUGUCUAGAAAGGUUUAAUCAAAAUCAACUUAUGGCAGCAGACAGAGCAACGGUCCAGGAAGAAAAGAUCUCGAGUAGGAGGUGGGGAUGGCUCGGGACACCCUGAGAAAGCCGACAUCCAGCAACACAAAACAGUCCCUGACCUCGAGCCCUUGGGACACACAUCAACAAAACAGGGAUGGGAUGGGCGAUAAAGGCAACUCAGGACUGAGAGUGCUGAGGGGCAACUGCCAAUAGCCUUCGUUCCAGGAGGGGCAAGAGGCCUAACAACGCGAUGAGAUGUUAUACUAGCAUUGCCAGCACCCUGCAAAGGGCAAAGUACACUCUAAGAAAACUACAAAGGGUAACCCUUACUAGAAAGCCAUAAAAACAGUUCCUGUAUAAGUACUCAUAGUGAGACAGAAACAAAGCCAGUGAUACAACUAUCAUGCCUGUAAUCACAUAUUUCUAUCUGAAAAUUAAAUUAGUUCUUUUUAUGUCCUAAAAAUA